rnacentral:lncRNA from 1 species
AUGGAACCCUGGGAGGGACCUUCCACUGAGAAACCUGGGGAGAAACUGGGAUUGGAACCCCAAAAUCCAUCAUGGAACCCUGGGAGGGACCCUCCACCGAGAAACCUGGAAUUGGGAACCCAAAAUCCAUCAGGGAACCCCAAAAUCCAUCCCAGACAGGCCUGGGAGGGACCUUCCACUGAGAAACCUGGAAUUGGGAACCCCAAAAUCCAUCAGGAAACCCCAAAUCCAUCAUGGAACCCUGUAAGGGACCUUCUACCGAGGAACCUGGGGAGAAACCAGGAUUGGAACCCAAAAUUCAUCAUGGAACCCUGGGAGGGACCUUCCACUGAGAAAUCUGGGGAGAAACCCAAAAUCCAUCAUGGAACCCAUCCUGACCCUCCAGGUGAGACUGGGAUGGACCUUCCACUGAGAAACCUGGGGAGAAACCCAAAAUCCAUCAGGGAACCCCAAAAUCCAUCCCAGACAGGUCUGGGAGGGACCUUCCACCGAGAAACCUGGGGAGAAAUCAUGGAUUGGGAAUCAUGGAACCCCAAAAUCCAUCCCAGAUGGGUCUGGGAGGGACCUUCCACCGAGAAACCUGGGGAGAAACCCAAAAUCCAUCAUGGAACCCCAAAUCCAUCAUGGAACCCUGGGAGGGACCUUCCACUGAGAAACCUGGGGAGAAACCAAGAUUGGAACCCAAAAUCCAUCAUGGAAACCCAAAAUCCAUCAGGGAGCCCCAAAAUCCAUCAUGGAAACCCAAAAUCCAUCAGGGAACCCCAAAAUCCAUCCCAGACAGGCCUGGGAGGGACCUUCCACCGAGAAACCUGGAAUUGGGAACCCAAAAUCCAUCAGGGAACCCCAAAAUCCAUCAUGGAACCCUGUAAGGGACCUUCCACCGAGAAACCUGGGGAGAAACAGGGAUUGGGAAUCAUGGAACCCCAAAUCCAUCCCAGAUGGGCCUGCAAGGGACCUUCCACUGAGAAACCUGGAAUUGGGAACCCAAAAUCCAUCAGGGAACCCCAAAAUCCAUCCCAGACAGGUCUGGGAGAGACCUUCCACCAAGAAACCUGGAACUGGGAACCCAAAAUCCAUCAGGGAACCCCAAAAUUCAUCAGGGAACCUGUCCUUGUACCCAGGUGAGCCUGGGAGGGACCUUCCACUGAGAAACCAGGGGAGAAAUCAUGGAUUGGAACCCAAAAUCCAUCAUGGAACCCCAAAAUCCAUCAUGGAACACAAAAUCCAUCAGGGAACCCCAAAAUCCAUCAUGGAACACAAAAUCCAUAAUGGAACCCAAAAUCCAUCAGGGAACCCAAAAUCCAUCACGGAACCCAAAAUCCAUCAUGGAACCCCAAAAUCCAUCAUGGACCCCAAAAUCCAUCACGGAACCCUGGUUUGGGGUGAGAAAUCAGA